GACGAACGCUGGCGGCGUGCUUAACACAUGCAAGUCGAACGGAAAGGCCCUGCUUUUGUGGGGUGCUCGAGUGGCGAACGGGUGAGUAACACGUGAGUAACCUGCCCUUGACUUUGGGAUAACUUCAGGAAACUGGGGCUAAUACCGGAUAGGAGCUCCUGCUGCAUGGUGGGGGUUGGAAAGUUUCGGCGGUUGGGGAUGGACUCGCGGCUUAUCAGCUAGUUGGUGGGGUAGUGGCUUACCAAGGCUUUGACGGGUAGCCGGCCUGAGAGGGUGACCGGCCACAUUGGGACUGAGAUACGGCCCAGACUCCUACGGGAGGCAGCAGUGGGGAAUAUUGCACAAUGGGCGGAAGCCUGAUGCAGCAACGCCGCGUGCGGGAUGGCGGCCUUCGGGUUGUAAACCGCUUUCGCCUGUGACGAAGCGUGAGUGACGGUAAUGGGUAAAGAAGCACCGGCUAACUACGUG
rnacentral:rRNA from 1 species